rnacentral:lncRNA from 1 species
CAAGACCCCAAGCUAAGACCCGUGUUCAGGUAUUCAGCAAGUCCCUGACCACGGUUGGUGGGAGCCCCUUGGGGCCCUGGGGCUUCCGGACGCUGUGGCUCAGCUCUGUUCUCCCACAAAGCUGAGCAGGUGCAGGGUAGCUGUGAACACACUGCUCGGGGUUCAUAUGUGUUUGUUGUCUGACUCCUUGAUAGCUAGGAGGCGGAGAGCAAUCCUCGGUCAUUGUCCCCAUCUUGGACACCUGCUCCUCCCUGCCCCCUCUGCAGUUUGGGGCCAGGUCAGAAUCCCGCACCCUGCCCCCAGUUUGUGGAUCUGAUGAAGGGUGAUGAGAGGAGGCUCUGGCCCCGAGGCGGCUGCAGGUGGACUGGGAGUCAGCUUGGGACCAGGCCUGGCCUGAACUUCUAGAUGGAAGGUCCGUGGGAAUGUCAGAGGAUGCUGAGGAAGAAGCAAUGAGACAGACGGGGCCAUGGGGAGACCUUGGCCACAGUCCAGCGAGAGGCGGUGGCCAGGCCCAGGCCACAGAGGAGGCAUUGAUGGCAAAAGAGGCGCCCAGAGGCUGCUGCAGCUGGGGCAACGUGGGCAUUACUGGGCUGGCAGGAGAAGAAGAAUGAUCCUCGGGCUCCAGGGCCCACGUCUGAGCAUCUGGGGUCAGCGAGGGAACCCCAGGCAUCCUUGCCUUGAGAGGCUUCCACGUGGCAGUGUCCAGCUCUUCUGGCCCCAAGGAGCCUCCAGUGAGGACUUUGAUUCCUAA